UUUACGAAGCUGUCUCUCUCCUGCCUGCUUUUUUUCGUUUUGUUGCCGUAAAUACUUUUAGUAUGGCGUAAAUAUGUCGUGAUUUGUGUUUUAAGAGCGGAACAAGGCCCCUCAAAACAGAGAUUGAUGCAUCGUCAGCGAAGAACAGAAGCGUUGGAUGGGUACGCAGCUCGACCCAACGUCUAGUAACGAUGAGCUCGGCCGAGGCUCGACUCCCGGCGUGUUCUGUGGCCGUGCGGUGUGCGCUUGUGUAUGGGAAAUUAUCGUCGCUGCGUGUUGUCGUAGUGUGGGGAUAUUUGUGCUUAAUGUAUUUGACUUCGUCUACGAUGCUCUGCACAAUGCGGCAUCGAAGUUGUCCCGUGUUCGGGUACACGUACGCCGCUUGGAUGCGCCUGACACUGCACUCAACUAUAGCCAUGUACAGUUAACUCUAGAAUCAACAAAUGUUGGUGUUCUACACGCGCUCGUAACUUUCUGAGGAGUCUGUGGUGACAAAGGUUCCUGGACAUGGCCAUGGCCCUAAAGAAACUGAGGCCACCGGCUUCCAGUGUUUCUUCCUGUUCGAGCAAAGGUAGUCCAGCCUUGACUGGCUGGGCUUUCCAAAGUGCGCUAUCGCACCUUGGGCUAUCCUGUGUCACAAGCAGUACCUACAGUGAUUGCGAGGAGGUGCCACACAAACCUAACUCGUCACCACCACCGUUUUCCUGUGUUUUUAUACCAAGUGAGCUAACUAGAAGGGCAACGGCUGGCAGUGGUUCCAUAAACGUCUGAAGCCGACGGAUCAUUGUGUUCCAAGAAAAAAGAGUGACACGUACUGGUAUAGUUGGUUAUUCUCUGAAAUAAAACAUGCAGGUGCUUUUGGUACUAACAAUGAGUU
rnacentral:lncRNA from 1 species